rnacentral:lncRNA from 7 species
AUGAAAAAAGCACCACUUGCCAGGAGCACUCCAGUGCCUCAUUCCCGAGGGCCAAGAUGGGCUUCCCCAUGGCUGGGCUCAAUGCCUGCUCUAGAGAGAGCAAUUGAUGCCCCGACAUUUGAUUUCUGUCCAGGAGGGGAAUGCCAUCAGGGUGUUUACUUACGUGCUGAAAUGCUGGAAGGUGCUCAGAGGACACGAUUCCCUGGGGAAACCCUGCGAGAGCAGUGGGGGGAGGUGGGGGACGGGGGCAGCCAGGCUGUGUACGUCGGAGCUGUUCCAAGGCACUGUCUCAUUGGCAACUUGCUAUUUGCUUUGCUUCUGAAGGAAGCUCUUCACCUUCGUGAGACACAGCCUUCUUUACCUGAGGACAUGUCACUUCACUACGAAGAGCAAACACAGCACAAAGCACUAGCGCUGUCGCCGAACAGGGGACAAGUGCUGCGGUUUGGGUCUUGUGCUCCCACCCCUCACCCACAGAGCCCUAUAACUUUCAGGCUGCACACCCCUCCCACAGGCCACAUCCGCCUGGCUUCCACCCCGCAGGGUCCCCUCGGAGACAGUAUGGCUACCCAGUGCCUUUGCCUCCUGAUUCUCACCUCCCUGCUGGCCCUGGCAGCACCUCUUGUCUUUGACAUAAAAAACUUGCAUCUCUUAAAUGGAACGAUGGAUGAAAUUAUGAAUAUUCACCCUGAGCCCGUCCAGCCUGAUGAGGGGGACCACCACGUUCGACAGGUCAGAGAUAUUGCCCGCGCCCACCAGCGGCUCAUGGUAAGUCUGUGCAAGAAGUACAUCUUCUCACAAGAUUUCACCUUUGCUAAUAGCCCAGAGGCUCAUGGAGAGCUCUUGGCCCUUUGUAUGCACUCGUUCCUCCAGAAACAACAGAGGUGCCACAGCUCAUCAUCCUGGAUAGACCCUAGCACCAGCCACGUUCUCCACUUAAUAUGUGCUGAGAGAAUUUUCUACCUGAAGAUCUAAACUGGAAAUUGAUGAUUCAUUAUCUGCCUUCAGGUUGUGGUGGCUGAUUAUUACCUGAUUUUGGCUGUGCAGUUGAUGACAAGGCUGGUUAAGACAGAGAGUAACUGAAUAACUGAGCUGGCUGAGUCAGCGCAAGCUCUAUGGCCACAUGGCACGGCUUCUUUGGGUG